UGAACGCUGGCGGCGUGCAUAACACAUUCAAGUCGAACGAAGCAUAAAGACGGAAGUCCGUCGGGGCGGAAGUAUUUAUGACUUAGUGGCGGACGGGUGAGUAACGCGUGAGCAACCUGCCUGUGAUAGAGGGAUAACACAUGGAAACGUGUGCUAAUACCACAUGAGGCGCAGAUAUCGCAUGGUAAUUGCGUUAAAGAGAUAUCGAUCGCAGAUGGGCUCGCGUAUGAUUAGGCAGUUGGUGAGGUAACGGCUCACCAAACCGACGAUCAUUAGCCGAACUGAGAGGUUGAACGGCCACAUUGGAACUGAGAAACGGUCCAGACUCCUACGGGAGGCAGCAGUGGGGAAUAUUGGGCAAUGGGCGAAAGCCUGACCCAGCGACGCCGCGUGAGGGAAGAAGGUCUUCGGAUUGUAAACCUCUUUCAGUAGGGAAGAAGAAAGUGACGGUACCUACAGAAGAAGUCACGGCUAACUACGUGCCAGCAGCUGC
rnacentral:rRNA from 1 species